rnacentral:rRNA from 1 species
UGGAGAGGGCGCCUGAGAAACGGCGACCACUUCCAAGGAAGGCAGCAGGCGCGCAAAUUACCCACUCUCAAAACGAGGAGGUAGUGAAGAGAAAUAACGAUGUUAGUCUUUUUUAGGCUGACAAUCGGAAUGGAAAAACUCUAAAAAGGUUAUUGAUUAACAAUUGGAGGGCAAGUCUGGUGCCAGCAGCCGCGGUAAUUCCAGCUCCAAUAAGGAAAACUAAAGUUGCUGUGUUUAAAAAGCUCGUAGUUGAAUUUCGGGUAUUUGUUGCUAGUUGGUCUUUUCGGCCAUAUUGGUUAACAGAUCCUCACUUGCUGGACGGCUGGCGAUGAUCUUUAUCGGUUGUCGUCAGUUGCCAGAACGUUUACUUUGAGAAAAUUAGAGUGCUAAAAGCAGGCUCACGCCUAUAUAUAUUGCAUGGAAUAAUGAAAUAAGAUCUCGAUUUUAUUUCGUUGGUUUUAGAAAUUGAGAUAAUGAUUAAUAGGAUCAGAGGGGGGCGUACGUACUGUGGUGUGAGAGGUGAAAUUCUUGGAUCGCCACAGGACGAACAGCAGCGAAGGCGUUCGCCAAGAAUGUCUUCAUUAAUCAAGAACGAAAGUUUGAGGUUCGAAGACGAUUAGAUACCGUCCUAGUUCAAACCAUAAACGUUGCCAACUGUCUUUUAGAUGCGGUUACUCAUAUGACUCAUCUGGCGGAUCUCGAGAAAUCUAAGUUUUUAGGUUCCGGGGGAAGUAUGGUUGCAAAGCUGAAACUUAAAAGAAUUGACGGAAGGACACACAAGAAGUGGAGCCUGUGGCCUAAUUUGACUCAACACGGGAAACCUUACUCGGCCAGGACACUUUUAGGAUUGACAGAUUGAGAGCUCUUUCUUGAUUAGGUGGGUGGUGGUGCAUGGUCGUUCGUAGUUCGUGGAGCGAUUUGUCUGAUUAAUUUCGAUAACGAACGAGACUCCGGCUUACUAAAUAGUCUAAAGUUCGCAGGGACUUUUCAAGACUUCUUAGCAGGAUAAGUGGCACUUUUUAAGCCACACGAAAUGGAGCAAUAACAGGUCUGUUAUGCCCA